rnacentral:lncRNA from 10 species
AGUGAGUUCUCAUGAGAUCUGAUGAUUUUAUAAGAGGCUCUUCCCCUUUUGCUUAGCCCUUUUCCUCCCUGUCACCUUGUGAAGAAGGUGCCUUGCUUCGCCUUUGCCUUCGCCAUGAUUUUAAGUUUCCUGAGGCUUCCCCAGCCGUGUAGAACGAUCAGAAAUCUCACAAUUUGCUGAGCAUUAAUAAAGCAUUAACCCUGGAAAAAAUGUGUGAGGAGGGCGUGGCCUCAAAUUGAUGCAGAGAAGAGUUAAAAAGAGGAAAUGGAGAGCAAGCCCUUUUCCAGAUUGAAGAAAGAACCAUCCAGGGACCUCCUGUCACAAACCAGAUGGCAGCCUCCAGCUGGCUGCCCUGGAGAUACUGAAAUUGGAAAUACUCCAUAGCCAAGCAGACCCACCCACUUGCAGGUCUGUGGGAGGCCCUGGAUGCUAAGAUGACUCCAGUAGCAACAGGCGCUCUGAACCCCCAGCCAGGAUCACAAGAGACAAAAUCCUGCCUCCUUCAGGGAACGGGGCAUAGUUCUGGGACAAGAAUGUUCAGCAUGUUUGGUCUUGUGGAUAAAAGCAUGCUGAGGACGACAAGAAGUGUGCAUGGCAGGACUGAGACCAAUACUCAGGUCUGGUCAAAGGAUCUACAUCCCGCACAGGGUGCAGUGAAGACCAAGAUCCACGUUCAGAAAAAAAUACCACUCCUUCACCCUCCGCUCCCACAUGAAGGCUGUAGGAACUCAGGGAAUUGUGGAAGAAGAGAAGAGAAAGAGGAGGGAGGAUGUAUUAGCUUUUUAUUGUUGUUGUAAAAAAUUUUGUGGCUUAAAACCACAAACUUAGUGGCAAGACAAAUUUAUUCUGUUAUAGUUAUAGUGGUCAGAAGUCUAAAAUAAAGUAUUGAUAUGGUUGUAUUCUUUUUGAAAGCUUCAGGAGAAAAUCAGUUUGUCUCUUCCAGUUUCUAGGGGUCACAUGCAUUCUUUGGCUCAUGGGACAUCACUCUAGCUUCUGGUUCUACCCUUACGUUUUCUUUAACUUUGAGCUUCCUACUUCUCUUUAAUAAAGACUUAUAUAAUUACAGUAGGCCCACCUAUAUGCUGCAGAAUAACCCUCCCCCACCACAAGAUCUUUAAUUUAAUCAUAUAUGCAAAAUUCCUUUUGUCAUAUAAGGUAAUAUAUUCACGUGGUCUGGGGAUUAGGACAUGGAUACCUUUGAGGGGGGCUAUUAUUUAACCUACCACAGCGCACCCUCUGGUCACCCAAAAUUAAUAUCCAUUCCACACUCAAAAGACAUUCACCUCAUCCCAGCAUCCCCUAAAGUUUCAACCCAUUACAGCA